rnacentral:misc_RNA from 1 species
AAAUGCGAUAAGUAGUGUGAAUUGCAGAAUUCAGUGAAUCAUCGAAUCUUUGAACGCACAUUGCGCCCUUUGGUAUUCCAAAGGGCAUGCCUGUUCGAGCGUCAUUUGUACCCUCAAGCUUUGCUUGGUGUUGGGCGUCUUGUCUCUAGCUUGCUGGAGACUCGCCUUAAAGUAAUUGGCAGCCGGCCUACUGGUUUCGGAGCGCAGCACAAGUCGCACUCUCUAUCAGCAAAGGUCUAGCAUCCAUUAAGCCUUUUUUUCAACUUUUGACCUCGGAUCAGGUAGGGAUACCCGCUGAACUUAAGC